rnacentral:rRNA from 1 species
GGUUAAGCGACUAAGCGUACACGGUGGAUGCCCUGGCAGUCAGAGGCGAUGAAGGACGUGCUAAUCUGCGAAAAGCGUCGGUAAGGUGAUAUGAACCGUUAUAACCGGCGAUGUCCGAAUGGGGAAACCCAGUGCAAUUCGUUGCACUAUCGUUAACUGAAUACAUAGGUUAACGAGGCGAACCGGGGGAACUGAAACAUCUAAGUACCCCGAGGAAAAGAAAUCAACCGAGAUUCCCCCAGUAGCGGCGAGCGAACGGGGAGCAGCCCAGAGUCUGAAUCAGCUUGUGUGUUAGUGGAACGGUCUGGAAAGUCCGACGGUACAGGGUGAUAGUCCCGUACACCAAAAUGCACAGGCUGUGAACUCGAAGAGUAGGGCGGGACACGUGGUAUCCUGUCUGAAUAUGGGGGGACCAUCCUCCAAGGCUAAAUACUCCUGACUGACCGAUAGUGAACCAGUACCGUGAGGGAAAGGCGAAAAGAACCCCGGCGAGGGGAGUGAAAAAGAACCUGAAACCGUGUACGUACAAGCAGUGGGAGCACCUUCGGGUGUGACUGCGUACCUUUUGUAUAAUGGGUCAGCGACUUAUAUUCUGUAGCAAGGUUAACCGUAUAGGGGAGCCGCAGGGAAACCGAGUCUUAACUGGGCGUUAAGUUGCAGGGUAUAGACCCGAAACCCGGUGAUCUAGCCAUGGGCAGGUUGAAGGUUGGGUAACACUAACUGGAGGACCGAACCGACUAAUGUUGAAAAAUUAGCGGAUGACUUGUGGCUGGGGGUGAAAGGCCAAUCAAACCGGGAGAUAGCUGGUUCUCCCCGAAAGCUAUUUAGGUAGCGCCUCGUGAACUCAUCUUCGGGGGUAGAGCACUGUUUCGGCUAGGGGGUCAUCCCGACUUACCAACCCGAUGCAAACUACGAAUACCGAAGAAUGUUAUCACGGGAGACACACGGCGGGUGCUAACGUCCGUCGUGAAGAGGGAAACAACCCAGACCGCCAGCUAAGGUCCCAAAGUCAUGGUUAAGUGGGAAACGAUGUGGGAAGGCACAGACAGCCAGGAUGUUGGCUUAGAAGCAGCCAUCAUUUAAAGAAAGCGUAAUAGCUCACUGGUCGAGUCGGCCUGCGCGGAAGAUGUAACGGGGCUAAACCAUGCACCGAAGCUGCGGCAGCGACACUAUGUGUUGUUGGGUAGGGGAGCGUUCUGUAAGCCUGCGAAGGUGACCUGUGAGGGUUGCUGGAGGUAUCAGAAGUGCGAAUGCUGACAUAAGUAACGAUAAAGCGGGUGAAAAGCCCGCUCGCCGGAAGACCAAGGGUUCCUGUCCAACGUUAAUCGGGGCAGGGUGAGUCGACCCCUAAGGCGAGGCCGAAAGGCGUAGUCGAUGGGAAACAGGUUAAUAUUCCUGUACUUGGUGUUACUGCGAAGGGGGGACGGAGAAGGCUAUGUUAGCCGGGCGACGGUUGUCCCGGUUUAAGCAUGUAGGCUGAUUAUCCAGGCAAAUCCGGAUAAUCAAGGCUGAGGUGUGAUGACGAGGCACUACGGUGCUGAAGUAACAAAUGCCCUGCUUCCAGGAAAAGCCUCUAAGCAUCAGGUAACAUCAAAUCGUACCCCAAACCGACACAGGUGGUCAGGUAGAGAAUACCAAGGCGCUUGAGAGAACUCGGGUGAAGGAACUAGGCAAAAUGGUGCCGUAACUUCGGGAGAAGGCACGCUGGUGUGUAGGUGAAGUCCCUGCGGAUGGAGCUGAGACCAGUCGAAGAUACCAGCUGGCUGCAACUGUUUAUUAAAAACACAGCACUGUGCAAACACGAAAGUGGACGUAUACGGUGUGACGCCUGCCCGGUGCCGGAAGGUUAAUUGAUGGGGUUAUCCGUAAGGAGAAGCUCUUGAUCGAAGCCCCGGUAAACGGCGGCCGUAACUAUAACGGUCCUAAGGUAGCGAAAUUCCUUGUCGGGUAAGUUCCGACCUGCACGAAUGGCGUAAUGAUGGCCAGGCUGUCUCCACCCGAGACUCAGUGAAAUUGAACUCGCUGUGAAGAUGCAGUGUACCCGCGGCAAGACGGAAAGACCCCGUGAACCUUUACUAUAGCUUGACACUGAACAUUGAGCCUUGAUGUGUAGGAUAGGUGGGAGGCUUUGAAGCGUGGACGCCAGUCUGCGUGGAGCCAACCUUGAAAUACCACCCUUUAAUGUUUGAUGUUCUAACGUUGGCCCCUGACCGGGGUUGCGGACAGUGUCUGGUGGGUAGUUUGACUGGGGCGGUCUCCUCCCAAAGCGUAACGGAGGAGCACGAAGGUUAGCUAAUCCUGGUCGGACAUCAGGAGGUUAGUGCAAUGGCAUAAGCUAGCUUGACUGCGAGCGUGACGGCGCGAGCAGGUGCGAAAGCAGGUCAUAGUGAUCCGGUGGUUCUGAAUGGAAGGGCCAUCGCUCAACGGAUAAAAGGUACUCCGGGGAUAACAGGCUGAUACCGCCCAAGAGUUCAUAUCGACGGCGGUGUUUGGCACCUCGAUGUCGGCUCAUCACAUCCUGGGGCUGAAGUAGGUCCCAAGGGUAUGGCUGUUCGCCAUUUAAAGUGGUACGCGAGCUGGGUUUAGAACGUCGUGAGACAGUUCGGUCCCUAUCUGCCGUGGGCGCUGGAGAAUUGAGGGGGGCUGCUCCUAGUACGAGAGGACCGGAGUGGACGCAUCACUGGUGUUCGGGUUGUCAUGCCAAUGGCACUGCCCGGUAGCUAAAUGCGGAAGAGAUAAGUGCUGAAAGCAUCUAAGCACGAAACUUGCCCCGAGAUGAGUUCUCCCUGAGACUUUAAGUCUCCUGAAGGAACGUUGAAGACGACGACGUUGAUAGGCCGGGUGUGUAAGCGCAGCGAUGCGUUGAGCUAACCGGUACUAAUGAACCGUGAGGCUUAACCUU